CGAACGCUGGCGGCAGGCUUAACACAUGCAAGUCGAGCGGGCGUAGCAAUACGUCAGCGGCAGACGGGUGAGUAACGCGUGGGAACGUACCUUUUGGUUCGGAACAACACAGGGAAACUUGUGCUAAUACCGGAUAAGCCCUUACGGGGAAAGAUUUAUCGCCGAAAGAUCGGCCCGCGUCUGAUUAGCUAGUUGGUGAGGUAACGGCUCACCAAGGCGACGAUCAGUAGCUGGUCUGAGAGGAUGAUCAGCCACAUUGGGACUGAGACACGGCCCAAACUCCUACGGGAGGCAGCAGUGGGGAAUAUUGGACAAUGGGCGAAAGCCUGAUCCAGCCAUGCCGCGUGAGUGAUGAAGGCCCUAGGGUUGUAAAGCUCUUUUGUGCGGGAAGAUAAUGACGGUACCGCAAGAAUAAGCCCCGGCUAACUUCGU
rnacentral:rRNA from 1 species